rnacentral:tRNA from 1 species
UUAACUGAAACCAAAAUAGAGGUAUAUUACUGUUAAUAAUAAGAUUGAAUAAUCAAUUCCAGUUAAG